CCGAACCGUCGACACGAGCUGUUGCUGGCCCUCGAAAGGGGGCACGUGCACGCUCUGUUUACACAUCCACUCACACCUGUGCACCCUCUGUAGUUCUGUGGCCUUGGGGACCCUGUCCCCCUUGCUGUGGUCCUACGUUUUUACACACACACCGUAACAAAGUCUCAUGGAAUGUAUCUCGCGUUUAACGCAAUACAAUA
rnacentral:misc_RNA from 1 species